rnacentral:tRNA from 1 species
GGGGCUAUAGCUCAGUGGUAGAGUGAUUACUUCACAUGCAUGAGAUCCUAGGUUCAAUCCCCAGUACCACCC